rnacentral:rRNA from 1 species
CCUACGGGGGGCAGCAGUGAGGAAUAUUGGUCAAUGGCCGCAAGGCUGAACCAGCCAAGUCGCGUGAGGGAGGACUGCGCUGUGCGUUGUAGACCUCUUUUGUCUGGGGACAAAAUGCCGUACUUGUACGGCUUUGCGUGUACCUGGUGAAAAAGCAUCGGCUAACUCCGUGCCAGCAGCCGCGGUAAUACGGAGGAUGCGAGCGUUAUCCGGAUUUAUUGGGUUUAAAGGGUGCGUAGGCGGGUCUUUAAGUCAGGGGUGAAAGUGGGCGGCUCAACCGCAGCAGAGCAGUCGAAACUGGGGGCCUUGAGUGCAGUAGAGGCAGGCGGAAUGCGCGGUGUAGCGGUGAAAUGCAUAGAUAUCGCGAAGAACCCCGAUUGCGAAGGCAGCGUGCUGUACCGCCACUGACGCUGAGGCACGAAAGCGCGGGUAUCGAACAGGAUUAGAUACCCUUGUAGUC